GACGAACGCUGGCGGCGUGCUUAACACAUGCAAGUCGAACGGAAAGGCCCUGCUUUUGUGGGGUGCUCGAGUGGCGAACGGGUGAGUAACACGUGAGUAACCUGCCCUUGACUUUGGGAUAACUUCAGGAAACUGGGGCUAAUACCGGAUAGGAGCUCCUGCUGCAUGGUGGGGGUUGGAAAGUUUCGGCGGUUGGGGAUGGACUCGCGGCUUAUCAGCUUGUUGGUGGGGUAGUGGCUUACCAAGGCUUUGACGGGUAGCCGGCCUGAGAGGGUGACCGGCCACAUUGGGACUGAGAUACGGCCCAGACUCCUACGGGAGGCAGCGGUGGGAAAUAUUGCACAGUGGGCGGAAGCCUGAUGCAGCAACGCCGCGUGCGGGAUGACGGCCUUCGGGUUGUAAACCGCUUUCGCCUGUAACGAAGCGUGAGUGACGGUAAUGGGUAAAGAAGCACCGGCUAACUACGUG
rnacentral:rRNA from 1 species